GCUGGCGGCAGCCUAAUAAUGCAAGUCGAACGCGUGGAGCAAUCCACGAGUGGCGGACGGGUGAGUAACGCGUGGGAACCCGCCCUUGAGUGCGGGAUAACCGAGGGAAACUUCGGCUAAUACCGCAUGCUCCUCAGCAAUGAGGGAAAGGUUUAUCGCUCGAGGAGGGGCCCGCGUCGGAUUAGCUAGUUGGUGGGGUAACGGCCUACCAAGGCGAUGAUCCGUAGCUGGUCUGAGAGGAUGAUCAGCCACACUGGGACUGAGACACGGCCCAGACUCCUACGGGAGGCAGCAGUAGGGAAUAUUGGACAAUGGGGGCAACCCUGAUCCAGCAAUGCCGCGUGAGUGAUGAAGGCCUUAGGGUUGUAAAGCUCUUUCGCGCGCGACGAUGAUGACGGUAGCGCGAGAAGAAGCCCCGGCUAACUUCGUGCCAGCAGCCGCGGUAAUACGAAGGGGGCGAGCGUUGUUCGGAAUUACUGGGCGUAAAGGGCGCGCAGGCGGCUCUUCAAGUCAGGCGUGAAAGCCCCGGGCUUAACCUGGGAAUUGCGCUUGGGACUGGAGGGCUU
rnacentral:rRNA from 1 species